rnacentral:rRNA from 1 species
GCUAUACAUGCAAGUCGAGCGAGCCGAACUAAUUGAUUACCUUCGGGUAUGAAGUUAGGGAAGCGAGCGGCGGAUGGGUGAGUAACACGUGGGUAACCUACCCUAUAGUCUGGGAUAUCACUUGGAAACAGGUGCUAAUACCGGAUAAAAGGAGAGAUCACAUGAUUUCUUUUUGAAAGGCGGCGUAAGCUGUCGCUAAAGGAUGGACCCGCGGUGCAUUAGCUAGUUGGUAAGGUAACGGCUUACCAAGGCAACGAUGCAUAGCCGAGCUGAGAGACUGAUCGGCCACAUUGGGACUGAGACACGGCCCAAACUCCUACGGGAGGCAGCAGUAGGGAAUCUUCCACAAUGGACGCAAGUCUGAUGGAGCAACGCCGCGUGAGUGAAGAAGGUUUUCGGAUCGUAAAGCUCUGUUGUUGGUGAAGAAAGAUAGUGAGAGUAACUGCUCAUUAUUUGCCGGUAAUCAACCAGAAAGUCACGGCUAACUACGUGCCAGCAGCCGCGGUAAUACGUAGGUGGCAAGCGUUGUCCGGAUUUAUUGGGCGUAAAGCGAGCGCAGGCGGAAAGAUAAGUCAGAUGUGAAAGCCCUCGGCUUAACCGAGGAAUAGCAUCGGAAACUGUCUUUCUUGAGUGCAGAAGAGGAGAGUGGAACUCCAUGUGUAGCGGUGGAAUGCGUAGAUAUAUGGAAGAACACCAGUGGCGAAGGCGGCUCUCUGGUCUGUAACUGACGCUGAGGC